AAUAGAUACCCUGGUAGUCCACGCCGUAAACGAUGAGUGCUAAGUGUUAGAGGGUUUCCGCCCUUUAGUGCUGAAGUUAGCGCAUUAAGCACUCCGCCUGGGGAGUACGGCCGCAAGGCUGAAACUCAAAGGAAUUGACGGGGGCCCGCACAAGCGGUGGAGCAUGUGGUUUAAUUCGAAGCAACGCGGAGAACCUUACCAGGUCUUGACAUCCUCUGACAACCCUAGAGAUAGGGCUUCUCCUUCGGGAGCAGAGUGACAGGUGGUGCAUGGUUGUCGUCAGCUCGUGUCGUGAGAUGUUGGGUUAAGUCCCGCAACGAGCGCAACCCUUGAUCUUAGUUGCCAUCAUUCAGUUGGGCACUCUAAGGUGACUGCCGGUGACAAACCGGAGGAAGGUGGGGAUGACGUCAGAUCAUCAUGCCCCUUAUGACCUGGGCUACACACGUGCUACAAUGGACGGUACAAAGAGCUGCAAGACCGCGAGGUGGAGCUAAUCUCAUAAAACCGUUCUCAGUUCGGAUUGU
rnacentral:rRNA from 1 species